CUCUUACUCUCAGGUGUUGGUUGGACUAAGUGGCCUCUGAGGUUCCUUCCAACUCGGCAUUCUGUAUUUGGUUUGAAAGGGAUCAGAGGUCAUUUGGUCCAUCCCUCUGCCUCCAAACCAGACU
rnacentral:precursor_RNA from 12 species